UGCUCUUCUUGGAUGAGUUGCGAACGGGUGAGUAACGCGUAGGUAACCUGCCUUGUAGCGGGGGAUAACUAUUGGAAACGAUAGCUAAUACCGCAUAACAAUGGAUGACACAUGUCAUUUAUUUGAAAGGGGCAAUUGCUCCACUACAAGAUGGACCUGCGUUGUAUUAGCUAGUAGGUGAGGUAAUGGCUCACCUAGGCGACGAUACAUAGCCGACCUGAGAGGGUGAUCGGCCACACUGGGACUGAGACACGGCCCAGACUCCUACGGGAGGCAGCAGUAGGGAAUCUUCGGCAAUGGGGGCAACCCUGACCGAGCAACGCCGCGUGAGUGAAGAAGGUUUUCGGAUCGUAAAGCUCUGUUGUAAGUCAAGAACGGGUGUGAGAGUGGAAAGUUCACACUGUGACGGUAGCUUACCAGAAAGGGACGGCUAACUACGUGCCAGCAGCCGCGGUAAUACGUAGGUCCCGAGCGUUGUCCGGAUUUAUUGGGCGUAAAGCGAGCGCAGGCGGUUUGAUAAGUCUGAAGUUAAAGGCUGUGGCUCAACCAUAGUUCGCUUUGGAAACUGUCAAACUUGAGUGCAGAAGGGGAGAGUGGAAUUCCAUGUGUAGCGGUGAAAUGCGUAGAUAUAUGGAGGAACACCGGUGGCGAAAGCGGCUCUCUGGUCUGUAACUGACGCUGAGGCUCGAAAGCGUGGGGAGCGAACAGGAUUAGAUACCCUGGUAGUCCACGCCGUAAACGAUGAGUGCUAGGUGUUGGAUCCUUUCCGGGAUUCAGUGCCGCAGCUAACGCAUUAAGCACUCCGCCUGGGGAGUACGACCGCAAGGUUGAAACUCAAAGGAAUUGACGGGG
rnacentral:rRNA from 1 species